AACGCGAAGAACCUUACCAAGGCUUGACAUAUACGAGAACGGGCGAGAGAUCGUCAACUCUUUGGACACUCGUAAACAGGUGGUGCAUGGUUGUCGUCAGCUCGUGUCGUGAGAUGUUCGGUUAAGUCCGGCAACGAGCGCAACCCUCGUCCUAUGUUGCCAGCACGUUAUGGUGGGAACUCAUGGGAUACUGCCGUGGUCAACACGGAGGAAGGUGGGGAUGACGUCAAAUCAUCAUGCCCCUUAUGUCUUGGGCUUCACGCAUGCUACAAUGGCCGAUACAAUGGGCUGCGAUACCGCGAGGUGGAGCGAAUCCCAAAAAGUCGGUCUCAGUUCGGAUUGGGGUCUGCAACUCGACCCCAUGAAGUCGGAGUCGCUAGUAAUCGCAGAUCAGCAACGCUGCGGUGAAUACGUUCCCGGGCCUUGUACACACCGCGCAUA
rnacentral:rRNA from 1 species